rnacentral:rRNA from 1 species
GCCGUUAAGUCUUGACGAGUAAGAGGGUCGCGACGGUGAGCGCAGAAGGGUCAGGGCGAGAGCCUGCCUGGAGCCGCCGUUGGUGCAGAUCUUGGUGGUAGUAGCAAAUACUCUAGCGAGGGCCUGGAGGACUGACGUGGAGAAGGGUUUCUUGUGAACAGCCGUUGCACAAGAGUCAGUCGACCCUGAGCCCUAGGAGAAAUCCGAUGACGAUGGGUGGCUUGACAAUAUAUGCGCACACACAUUGAUUGAACACAUGUUCUCUGUGUAACACACAUAAUAUCAUAGACCACAGACUGUGUCUGUCGUUUGAGUUAUGCACAACGUGCUGCUUGCGACUGUACAGCUCCUAUUGGGCAAAAGGGAAUCCGGUUCCUAUUCCGGAACCUGGCUGCGUAACUGCAUCUUUGCGGGCACUUGCUUGCGAGCGCUCGUCGGGGUAACCCAAACUGGCCUGGAGACGCCGGCGGGGGGUCUGGAAAGAGUUUUCUUUUCUUUAUAAGCGUUCGAGUACCCUGGAAUCCUAUAGCAGGGAGAUAGGGUUUGGAACGCGAAGAGCACCGCAGUUGCGGCGGUGUCCGGACCUUCCCCCCGGACCUUGAAAAUCCAGGUGAGGGCCACGCGGAAGUCGCGCCAG